UGUUAAUAUGGGAAUUUUUCCCAUGUUGACAUGGGCAUUUUUCCCAUGUCAACAUGGGAAAUUUUCCCAUGUUGACAUAGGAACAAUUCCCAUGUUAGCAUGGGAAUUUUUCCCAUGUUGACAUGGGAAUUGUUCCCAUGUCAACAUGGGAAUUUUUCCUAUGUUAACA